AGUCUGUUGUAUCUUCACUGAUUUACCUUUACAAAGAGAAUGUGGAAAAACAACGGACUGA
ensembl:miRNA